UCCCCUGCCACAUGGCCUUAAUCCUUUAGGAAAACACAGUUGCAAGAUCUGUCUCCCAUGACCAUCUUGUAGGGACAUCUCACGGUACAGAAAUUGCAUAGCCACACGAUUUGAGACACGUCCUAAUAUGGGCCACAUAUGGCAUCCGAAUAGCUAAGAGACCCAGUUUACAAAUGGCACUCUUACUAUAGCAACAUGUGCUGUCUUUGGAGAAAGAUUGGUGUGACCCAAACCCAUUUCCUCCUUGGGCUUUCGGUAACGCUGGUGGGCUACUCCAAGCUAUUGAGGAGCUGCAGGCCAAGCCGGAAAAAAAAAAUCACACUUAUGGACUGUUUUCCACCUCAAACGAACAUGAGUGAGGUUGAUGUGGCUAGUUUGAAAACUACGGCCCAACUGACUUAUCAACUAAAUGUUUAGAAUGAGGGCUUGGAUGUGAACUUCACCGAAACCCUCUGCCACAUGGUCAACCAUACCCAGAGAUCUUUCACUUCCUAAAUGACCAGGAAUGCAUCACCAAACUGACUGAUGUCACACAACAAUCGUGUGAUAUGUUGUAAAUCUCAGUAGAAGUCUACCAAUCACGAAUUGCAGUCAUUGUCAGCAUCAAAUGACCAAAUCUACUCCUACUCUAGCUCAACGAUAUAAUCGACGGUGCUCUUCACCAGCUGCCUAUAAAUAGAACUAGAUGUCUUCAAGCUCAAGACCUUCGUCAAAUUAAAUCUCUACGUUUAACCUUAAGUAAUUCUUCAAUCAACCGAACUUCCCUUCAAUACAAACAAAUUGCUUAGCUAAAUCCUUUAGCUAUUCAACUGCAAUCCAAUGCCUUCAUUCGAAGCAAAUAUUGCCUAUGAUCUCUGAGAUAUAAAUUUUUUAUGGCUCUACCACCUCAUGGUAUGGUUUGGUUGAUGUGCAAUUCUAACCACCAUGAUCACCUCUUUGAGACCAUCUCCAAUGGUUGGGCUAAAAG
rnacentral:lncRNA from 1 species